rnacentral:rRNA from 1 species
GUGCCAGCCGCCGCGGUAACCCCAGCGCCACAAGUGGCAACCACAUUUACUUGGUCUAAAGCGUCCGUAGCUGGUUAUGUAAAUCUUUUGUGAAAUUGUCAAGCUUAACUUGACAGCGCGCAAAAGACACUGCAAAACUUGAGACCGGGAGAGGUUAGGAGUAUUUCUUGGGGACCGGUAAAAUGGGAUAAUCCAAGAAAGACUACCAGUGGCGAAGGCGCCUAACCAGAACGGUUCUGACAGUGAGGGACGAAGGCUAGGGGAGCGAACCGGAUUAGAUACCCUUGUAGUCC